CCAAUAGCGUAUAUUAAAGUUGUUGCAGUUAAAAAGCUCGUAGUUGAACUUCGGGGUCUACCCAUUGGUCAGGCUUAAUUGUCUGCACUGGUGAGAUGGAUCUCUACCUUCUGAGGAACUUUCAUGCCAUUUAUUUGGUGUGAUGGGAAAUCAAGACUGUUACUUUGAAAAAAUUAGAGUGUUUAAAGCAGACUAUCGUCUGAAUACAUUAGCAUGGAAUAAUGAAAUAGGACGGACUGAUUCUAUUUCGUUGGUUUCUAGGAUCACCGUAAUGAUUAAUAGGGAUAGUUGGGGGCAUUAGUAUUCAAUUGUCAGAGGUGAAAUUCUUGGGUUUAUUGAAGACUAACUACUGCGAAAGCAUUUGCCAAGGAUGUUUUCAUUAAUCAAGAACGAAAGUUAGGGGAUCGAAGACGAUCAGAUACCGUCGUAGUCUUAACCAUAAACUAUGCCGACUAGGGAUCGGACGAAGUUAAUUUUAUAAUGACGCGUUCGGCACCUUACG
rnacentral:rRNA from 1 species